rnacentral:rRNA from 1 species
UCCGUAGGUGAACCUGCGGAGGGAUCAUUACCGAGUUUACAACUCCCAAACCCCUGUGAACAUACCACUUGUUGCCUCGGCGGAUCAGCCCGCUCCCGGUAAAACGGGACGGCCCGCCAGAGGACCCCUAAACUCUGUUUCUAUAUGUAACUUCUGAGUAAAACCAUAAAUAAAUCAAAACUUUCAACAACGGAUCUCUUGGUUCUGGCAUCGAUGAAGAACGCAGCAAAAUGCGAUAAGUAAUGUGAAUUGCAGAAUUCAGUGAAUCAUCGAAUCUUUGAACGCACAUUGCGCCCGCCAGUAUUCUGGCGGGCAUGCCUGUUCGAGCGUCAUUUCAACCCUCAAGCACAGCUUGGUGUUGGGACUCGCGUUAAUUCGCGUUCCUCAAAUUGAUUGGCGGUCACGUCGAGCUUCCAUAGCGUAGUAGUAAAACCCUCGUUACUGGUAAUCGUCGCGGCCACGCCGUUAAACCCCAACUUCUGAAUGUUACCUCGGAUCAGGUAUCCGUAGCCGAAGCCCUCAG